CAGAAGGGAGCUUGCUCCCGGAUGUUAGCGGCGGACGGGUGAGUAACACGUGGGUAACCUGCCUGUAAGACUGGGAUAACUCCGGGAAACCGGAGCUAAUACCGGAUAGUUCCUUGAACCGCAUGGUUCAAGGAUGAAAGACGGUUUCGGCUGUCACUUACAGAUGGACCCGCGGCGCAUUAGCUAGUUGGUGGGGUAAUGGCUCACCAAGGCGACGAUGCGUAGCCGACCUGAGAGGGUGAUCGGCCACACUGGGACUGAGACACGGCCCAGACUCCUACGGGAGGCAGCAGUAGGGAAUCUUCCGCAAUGGACGAAAGUCUGACGGAGCAACGCCGCGUGAGUGAUGAAGGUUUUCGGAUCGUAAAGCUCUGUUGUUAGGGAAGAACAAGUGCGAGAGUAACUGCUCGCACCUUGACGGUACCUAACCAGAAAGCCACGGCUAACUACGUGCCAGCAGCCGCGGUAAUACGUAGGUGGCAAGCGUUGUCCGGAAUUAUUGGGCGUAAAGGGCUCGCAGGCGGUUUCUUAAGUCUGAUGUGAAAGCCCCCGGCUCAACCGGGGAGGGUCAUUGGAAACUGGGAAACUUGAGUGCAGAAGAGGAGAGUGGAAUUCCACGUGUAGCGGUGAAAUGCGUAGAGAUGUGGAGGAACACCAGUGGCGAAGGCGACUCUCUGGUCUGUAACUGACGCUGAGGAGCGAAAGCGUGGGGAGCGAACAGGAUUAGAUACCCUGGUAGUCCACGCCGUAAACGAUGAGUGCUAAGUGUUAGGGGGUUUCCGCCCCUUAGUGCUGCAGCUAACGCAUUAAGCACUCCGCCUGGGGAGUACGGUCGCAAGACUGAAACUCAAAGGAAUUGACGGGGGCCCGCACAAGCGGUGGAGCAUGUGGUUUAAUUCGAAGCAACGCGAAGAACCUUACCAGGUCUUGACAUCCUCUGACAACCCUAGAGAUAGGGCUUUCCCUUCGGGGACAGAGUGACAGGUGGUGCAUGGUUGUCGUCAGCUCGUGUCGUGAGAUGUUG
rnacentral:rRNA from 1 species